rnacentral:ncRNA from 1 species
GUCCGCGGGGGUGCCAGGCAUAACUGGCUGAGAUAGUGACAAAAAUGUCGCAUUACCUAUGAACCUGAUCCGGAUAAUGCCGGCGGAGGAAGACG